rnacentral:tRNA from 1 species
GCCCCUAUAGCUCAGUGGUAGAGCGUUAGUGUAGUAAACUGAAGGUCAGUAGUUCGAUCCUGUGUGGGGGCA